rnacentral:lncRNA from 1 species
CGGCGGGCUAUCAGCAUGCUCCAGUCCCGGGCCCGGCGCGGCUCCCUGGCCUCGAGCGACGGAUGUGUGGGCAGCGAGGACGACGCCGACGAGGGCCGGACGGAGGGCGACCUGCUCUUCGCUCAGAAGUGUGCGGAGCUGCAGGGGUUUGUCAGACCCCUCCUGGAGCUGUUGAAUGGGCUGAAGAGAGGACGCUAUGACCGAGGUACACUUCCCCCACACCCCCAGCUGUGGGGUAGGGUGGGGUGGGGCUGUGGUCUCUUGAGGGGCUGUGGGCUCCCGUGGGGCUGUGGAGUGGGGUUGUGGGCUCCCGUGGGGCUGUGGAGUGGGGCUGUGGGCUCCCGUGGGGCUGUGUAGAGGGGCUGUGGGCUGUGGAGUGGGG